GCUGGACUCAACACCAAGGUGAUGUCACUUUUUUGCCUUAGCUCUGCCUUCAAAAGGCACUAUUACAAAUUACUUGGACUAUUACCAAGGUGAUGUGACUCACUCUCUUGCCUGGGGCCUUCACUCAGAGGGUAUUGUGACAUAUUGCUGGACCAAGCAUUUAGGUGAUGUGACUUUCUCAACAUCUUGGACUCUGACCAAUAAGGAAUUUGUAUGUGUUGAUGUGCGCUGCAUCCAGGUGAUG